AUAAUAACACCACUUGCAGCAAAUAAAUCCAACACAACACUUUCCUCAAACACCUGACGUGCACACACCAUGCUCACAGAAAAGAAACUAUGCUAUGUAACUUGCCACUUCACUUAGCGUGCCACUAAUUGACCAAGAUGACAAUUUGUUGAAAGCUAUAAACAAGAAAUCAGUAGUGACAUUCAUAAUAUUCAAGCAAGUAGGUGUCUUCCAAGAUGAGAGUAUCNNNNNNNNNNNNNNNNNNNNNNNNNNNNNNCAUUAAUUAACUAACUAAUCGAAACAAACAAACACGACAAAAGUAUACCAUCACAAUCAAAUUGGAGCAACGACUACCAGUUUAAAUCAACCGAUCUUUCCAUUUAUUUUUUUUUUUAAGAACGAGCAACAACUUAUAAUUGAACCAACGAUACUUUCACAAGCCUAAAUUAAGAAACACAGAUGCCAAAAUAAUCAAUAGAAGGAACAACCAAAUAACCAACAAAGAACAAAUAAGAGAACCAAACCUCAAAGACCAAAACCAAUAUAUUCCCAAAUUUUUGGGGACUCAAGAGCGGAAGCAACAAACAGUUCAAAGAGGAUCGAACGAAGCUCUAGAUACCAUGUUA
rnacentral:lncRNA from 1 species